CCUACGGGUGGCAGCAGUGAGGAAUAUUGGUCAAUGGUCGCGAGCCUGAACCAGCCAAGUCGCGUGAGGGAAGACGGUCCUGUGGAUUGUAAACCUCUUUUGUCGGGGAGCAAAAGACGCCACGCGUGGCGGUCCGAGAGUACCCGAAGAAAAAGCAUCGGCUAACUCCGUGCCAGCAGCCGCGGUAAUACGGAGGAUGCGAGCGUUAUCCGGAUUUAUUGGGUUUAAAGGGUGCGCAGGCGGAAUGUAAAGUCAGCGGUAAAAUCGAGAGGCUCAACCUCUUCGAGCCGUUGAAACUGGUUUUCUUGAGUGAGUGAGAAGUAUGCGGAAUGCGCGGUGUAGCGGUGAAAUGCAUAGAUAUCACGCAGAACUCCGAUUGCGAAGGCAGCAUACCGGCGCCACACUGACGCUGAUGCACGAAAGUGUGGGUAUCGAACAGGAUUAGAUACCCGGGUAGUC
rnacentral:rRNA from 1 species